rnacentral:lncRNA from 1 species
GUAACAUACAUCUUGUUAAUUGAAAAAUGAGAAGGAGAUUUUGUUACCCCGUUCGUACUUUGCAUUGAAUCGUUGUCUGCCAAACUUCCUUUUCUCUUAUUUUUCUCUUUCUUCUUUUUUUUUUUUUUUUUGACGUCGUCCUUAGGUCAAUGGUGGUUCUUUUAUUCGUAUUGAAUUGUUGUUUGUCGAGCUCCUUUUCGGCUUUUGUGUCGU